GACGAACGCUGGCGGCGUGCUUAACACAUGCAAGUCGAACGGAAAGGCCCUGCUUUUGUGGGGUGCUCGAGUGGCGAACGGGUGAGUAACACGUGAGUAACCUGCCCUUGACUUUGGGAUAACUUCAGGAAACUGGGGCUAAUACCGGAUAGGAGCUCCUGCUGCAUGGUGGGGGUUGGAAAGUUUCGGCGGUUGGGGCUGGACUCGCGGCUUAUCAGCUUGUUGGUGGGGUAGUGGCUUACCAAGGCUUUGACGGGUAGCCGGCCUGAGAGGGUGACCGGCCACAUUGGGACUGAGAUGCGGCCCAGACUCCUACGGGAGGGAGCAGUGGGGAAUAUUGCACAAUGGGCGGAAGCCUGAUGCAGCAACGCCGCGUGCGGGAUGACGGCCUUCGGGUUGUAAACCGCUUUCGCCUGUGACGAAGCGUGAGUGACGGUAAUGGGUAAAGAAGCACCGGCUAACUACGUG
rnacentral:rRNA from 1 species